GACGAACGCUGGCGGCGUGCCUAAUACAUGCAAGUAGAACGCAGUUGCGCACGGGUGAGUAACGCGUAGGUAACUUCCUCAUAGCGGGGGAUAACUAUUGGAAACGAUAGCUAAUACCGCCUACUGUUAGAUGGACCUGCGUUGUAUUAGCUAGUUGGUGAGGUAAAGGCUCACCAAGGCGACGAUACAUAGCCGUCCUGAGAGGGGAGUCGGCCACACUGGGACUGAGGAACGGCCCAAUCGCCUACGGGGGGGAGCAGUAGGGAAUCUUCGGCAAUGGACGGAAGUCUGAAAGAGCAACACCGCGUGAGGGGAGAAGGUUGUCGGAGCGUAAAGGUCGGUUGAUAGGGAAGCGGUAAAUAACCAGAAAGGGACGGCUAACUACGUGCCAGCAGCCGCGGUAAUAC
rnacentral:rRNA from 1 species